rnacentral:tRNA from 1 species
UGGGGUGUAGUUCAGUGUUAGAACACUUGCCUAGCAUGUGUACAACCUGGGUUCAGUCCCCAGUACCACAA